rnacentral:rRNA from 1 species
AUACGGAGGAUCCGAGCGUUAUCCGGAUUUAUUGGGUUUAAAGGGUGCGCAGGCGGCCAUUUAAGUCAGCGGUUAAAUCGUGGGGCUCAACCCCAUUCUGCCGUUGAUACUGGGUGGCUUGAUUGCGGUCGAGGUUGGCGGAAUUCAUUGUGUAGCGGUGAAAUGCAUAGAUAUGACGAAGAACACCGAUUGCGUAGGCAGCUGACCAGACCGCAAAUGACGCUCAUGCACGAAAGUGCGGGGAUCGAACAGGAUUAGAUACCCUGGUAGUCCGCACAGUAAACGAUGAAUACUUGUUUUCGGCGAUAUAAUGUCGGAGGCAAAGCGAAAGCGAUAAGUAUUCCACCUGGGGAGUACGCCGGCAACGGUGAAACUCAAAGGAAUUGACGGGG